CAGUCGCCGCGGUAAUACGAAGGGGGCUAGCGUUGUUCGGAUUUACUGGGCGUAAAGCGCACGUAGGCGGAUAUUUAAGUCAGGGGUGAAAUCCUGGAGCUCAACUCCAGAACUGCCUUUGAUACUGGGUAUCUAGAGUCCGGAAGAGGUGAGUGGAACUCCUAGUGUAGAGGUGAAAUUCGUAGAUAUUCGGAAGAACACCAGUGGCGAAGGCGGCUCACUGGACGACUGUUGACGCUGAGGUACGAAAGCGUGGGGAGCAAACAGGAUUAGAUACCCCGGUAGUCCCUGUCUCUUAUAC
rnacentral:rRNA from 1 species